rnacentral:rRNA from 1 species
GACGAACGCUGGCGGCGUGCUUAACACAUGCAAGUCGAACGAAGUGGCGAACGGGUGAGUAACGCGUAAUAAACCUGCCCUUCAGAGGGGGACAACAGCUGGAAACGACUGCUAAUACCGCAUACGGAAGGAGGGGAUUGCGUUGGAUUAGCUAGUUGGGGAGGUAAAGGCUCACCAAGGAGACGAUCGGUAGCUGGUCUGACAGGACGACCAGCCACACUGGGACUGAGACACGGCCCAGACUCCUACGGGAGGCAGCAGUGGGGAAUUUUGGACAAUGGGGGCAACCCUGAUCCAGCCAUGCCGCGUGCAGGAUGAAGGUCUUCGGAUUGUAAACUGCUUUUGUCAGGGAAGCGGUACCUGAAGAAUAAGCACCGGCUAACUACGUGCCAGCAGCCGCGGUAAUAC